GUCUACAACCAUGCCACCCUGAACGAGCCCAAUCCCGGCUCAUCUCGGAAGCUAAGCAGGGUUGGGCCUGGUUAGCACUUGGACGGGAGACCACCUAGGAAGACCAGAUGCUGCAGGCA
rnacentral:rRNA from 1 species